rnacentral:rRNA from 1 species
AUUGAACGCUGGCGGCAUGCCUUACACAUGCAAGUCGAACGGCAGCGGACCUUCGGGUGCCGGCGAGUGGCGAACGGGUGAGUAAUACAUCGGAACGUACCGUGUAGUGGGGGAUAACUUAUCGAAAGGUAGGCUAAUACCGCAUACGAUCUACGGAUGAAAGCAGGGGACCUUCGGGCCUUGUGCUAUACGAGCGGCUGAUGUCUGAUUAGCUAGUUGGUGAGGUAAAGGCUCACCAAGGCGACGAUCAGUAGCGGGUCUGAGAGGAUGAUCCGCCACACUGGGACUGAGACACGGCCCAGACUCCUACGGGAGGCAGCAGUGGGGAAUUUUGGACAAUGGGCGCAAGCCUGAUCCAGCCAUGCCGCGUGUCUGAAGAAGGCCUCGGUUGUAAGGACUUUAGUCUAGGAGCAACGUCCUAACAGCUAAUAUACUGUU